rnacentral:rRNA from 1 species
AUUGAACGCUGGCGGCAUGCCUUACACAUGCAAGUCGAACGGCAGCACGGGGCAACCUGGUGGCGAGUGGCGAACGGGUGAGUAAUGCAUCGGAACGUACCUUUCAGUGGGGGAUAACGUAGCGAAAGUUACGCUAAUACCGCAUAUUCUGUGAGCAGGAAAGCAGGGGAUCGAAAGACCUUGCGCUGAUUGCGCGGCCGAUGUCAGGUUAGCUAGUUGGUGAGGUAAAGGCUCAACAAGGAGACGAUCUGUAGCGGGUCUGAGAGGAUGAUCCGCCACACUGGAACUGAGACACGGUCCAGACUCCUACGGGAGGCAGCAGUGGGAAAUUUUGGACAAUGGGGGCAACCCUGAGCCAGCCAUGCCGCGUGAGUGAAGAAGGCCUUCGGGUUGUAAAGCUCUUUCGGCCGAGAAGAAAUCGCACGGGCUAAUACCCUGUGUGGAUGACGGUACCGGAAUAAGAAGCACCGGCUAACUACGUGCCAGCAGCCGCGGUAACAC